rnacentral:ncRNA from 2 species
GUCUGUCAAGGGCAUCCCGCGCGAAAGCGCGGUGCGCAAAGUCAUCGGUCUAAAGGGCUUCGGUCCCAGGACGGCUGGACUGCCAGA